rnacentral:rRNA from 1 species
AGAGUUUGAUCCUGGCUCAGAACGAACGCUGGCGGCGUGGAUAAGACAUGCAAGUCGAACGAGAUUUUCCGUUGUAGCAAUACGAUGGAACGUCUAGUGGCGAACGGGUGCUUAACACGUGGGCAACCUGCCAGGAAGUGGGGGAUAGCUCGCCGAAAGGCGAAUUAAUACCGCAUGUGAUUAGAGAGGACAUCCUUUCGAAAUUAAAGCUGGGGCAACCUAGCGCUUCUUGUGGGGCCCGCGGCCUAUCAGCUAGUUGGUGAGGUAACGGCUCACCAAGGCUUUGACGGGUAGCUGGUCUGAGAGGACGACCAGCCACACUGGGACUGAGACACGGCCCAGACACCUACGGGUGGCAGCAGUCGAGAAUUUUUGACAAUGGGGGAAACCCUGAUCGAGCGACGCCGCGUGGAGGAUGAAGGUCUUCGGAUUGUAAACUCCUGUCAUUGGGGAACAAUGCGUGACGGUUAACUGCCGUCGCGUUGAUAGUACCCGAAGAGGAAGAGACGGCUAACUCUGUGCCAGCAGCCGCGGUAAUACAGAGGUCUCAAGCGUUGUUCGGAUUCAUUGGGCGUAAAGGGUGCGUAGGCGGCGCGGUAAGUCGGGUGUGAAAUCUUGGAGCUUAACUCCGAAACUGCAUUCGAUACUGCCGUGCUUGAGGACUGGAGAGGAGACUGGAAUUUACGGUGUAGCGGUGAAAUGCGUAGAUAUCGUAAGGAAGACCAGUGGCGAAGGCGGGUCUCUGGACAGUUCCUGACGCUGAGGCACGAAGGUCAGGGGAGCAAACGGGAUUAGAUACCCCAGUAGUCC